rnacentral:rRNA from 1 species
CAGCCGCCACGGUAAUACGUAGGUGGCAAGCGUUGUCCGGAAUUAUUGGGCGUAAAGGGCUCGCAGGCGGUUUCUUAAGUCUGAUGUGAAAGCCCCCGGCUCGACCGGGGAGGGUCAUUGGAAACUGGGAAACUUGAGUGCAGAAGAGGAGAGUGGAAUUCCACGUGUAGCGGUGAAAUGCGUAGAGAUGUGGAGGAACACCAGUGGCGAAGGCGACUCUCUGGUCUGUAACUGACGCUGAGGAGCGAAAGCGUGGGGAGCGAACAGGAUUAGAUACCCCAGUAGUCCCUGUCUCUUAUAC